GAGAGUUAUGCUACAUAACAAUACAAGGAAGAUACUGAAGGAGGUUUUUCAAGUGCUUCCAGUUUAAGUAUGCAUCUUCUUGAAUCCAUGUGCCGAAACAUUCAUCUUUACCUUGAGAGAGAAAACCAGAAGUUUAUGGUUCCUCAUAUUGGAGUGAGGCUUUUAUUGCAUGGAAAUUACAACACCGAAACUCUUACCAAAGCUGAGAAGGGUUGCAAGGAGGAAGAGAAGAUGUUUCCUCAAAUUGAAUUUUGUAAAAGAAAAAGUAGAGCGUAUGGUAUGGCUACUAAUUUAUUCAGUAAUAUAUGUGCUAUGUGGCAUACAAUUAUACCAUAUGAAACAUAUCUGAAUACAGAUGUGGAAGUUUUUUUUGGAACAAUCCACGUCUAGCUGAUGAAAUUGAAUUU